rnacentral:rRNA from 1 species
GAUGAACGCUGGCGGCGUGCCUAAUACAUGCAAGUCGAGCGAACAGACGAGGAGCUUGCUCCUCUGACGUUAGCGGCGGACGGGUGAGUAACACGUGGAUAACCUACCUAUAAGACUGGGAUAACUUCGGGAAACCGGAGCUAAUACCGGAUAAUAUAUUGAACCGCAUGGUUCAAUAGUGAAAGACGGUUUUGCUGUCACUUAUAGAUGGAUCCGCGCCGCAUUAGCUAGUUGGUAAGGUAACGGCUUACCAAGGCAACGAUGCGUAGCCGACCUGAGAAGGUGAUCGGCCACACUGGAACUGAGACACGGUCCAGACUCCUACGGGAGGCAGCAGUAGGGAAUCUUCCGCAAUGGGCGAAAGCCUGACGGAGCAACGCCGCGUGAGUGAUGAAGGUCUUCGGAUCGUAAAACUCUGUUAUUAGGGAAGAACAAAUGUGUAAGUAACUAUGCACGUCUUGACGGUACCUAAUCAGAAAGCCACGGCUAACUACGUG